ensembl:lncRNA novel transcript, antisense to KRAS
UCUGUUGGCUUUCUGGGUAUUGUCUUUCUUUAAUGAGACCUUUCUCCAGAAAUAAACACAUCCUCAAAAAAAUUCUGCCAAAGUAAAAUUCUUCAAAUACAACAACGUUUAACCUAGAAACAUGACAUAAUGGUUUAAAAGUACUACCGAAAUAGAAAACGCAAAAAUUUGUUGCCCUGUUCUUUAUAUAUAUAUAUAUAUAUAUAUAUAUAUAUAUAUAUAUAUAUAUAUAUGUAACCAUGGGAAAAAAAAAUCCCCACCUCUUGAAUUCUAAAUGUUAACAUGUGCUCAGAAUUGAAGAGAAAUUUUCAAUGUAGAAAGAAACCAAAGCCAAAAGCAGUACCAUGGACACUGGAUUAAGAAGCAAUGCCCUCUCAAGAGACAAAAACAUUUACUAAAUAUUGUUUUAUUUCCUAGUAUAGCAUAAUUGAGAGAAAAACUGAUAUAUUAAAUGACAUAACAGUUAUGAUUUUGCAGAAAACAGAUCUGUAUUUAUUUCAGUGUUACUUACCUGUCUUGUCUUUGCUGAUGUUUCAAUAAAAGGAAUUCCAUAACUUCUUGCU